rnacentral:rRNA from 1 species
UAAAAACCCCGACUUCGGAAGGGGUGUAUUUAUUAGAUACAAAACCAAUGCCCUUCGGGGCUCUUUGGUGAUUCAUGAUAACUAUACGAAUCGCACGGCCUUGCGCCGGCGAUGGUUCAUUCAAAUUUCUUCCCUAUCAACUUUCGAUGUUUGGGUAUUGACCAAACAUGGUUGCAACGGGUAACGGAGGGUUAGGGCUCGACCCCGGAGAAGGAGCCUGAGAAACGGCUACUACAUCCAAGGAAGGCAGCAGGCGCGCAAAUUACCCAAUCCCGACUCGGGGAGGUAGUGACAAUAAAUACUGAUACAGGGCCCUUUCGGGCCUUGUAAUUGGAAUGAGUACAAUUUAAAUCCCUUAACGAGGUACAAUUGGAGGGCAAGUCUGGUGCCAGCAGCCGCGGUAAUUCCAGCUCCAAUAGCGUAUAUUAAAGUUGUUGUGGUUAAAAAGCUCGUAGUUGAACCUUGGGCCUGGCUGGCCGGUCCGCCUCACCGCGUGCACUGGUCCGGCCGGGCCUUUCCCUCUGUGGAACCCCAUACCCUUCACUGGGCGUGGCGGGGAAACAGGACAUUUACUUU